CCAAAAAAAUGAAAUCCUCCUUUUUCUCCUUCUAAAAUUCUCUGCUAUGAACCCGAAAUCAUUCAUAACCAUUUUCCAUUCCCAAAAAAAUUAAACAUCCCACAUGCUACGACUCCCAAAUCACCCUAAAUCAUAAACCCCUAAAUAUUAAGAACCCUAAUUUGUUCUUGAGAAACGGUGCAUUAGAUCAAAAACUGUGAAUUCAACUUCGAAUUAGUUCAGGUUCUCUCAACCAAGAACCUCCCCAUUCUAUAAAUCAGAAAAAAGCAUCAAUGCCGCAUAUUGCAGCUGCGCCGGAGUCAGCCGUUCGUUAUCCCAUAUGGUCAUCGUCACAGCCUCAGGAUUUAUCAACUCCUUCCGCAAGAUCUUUCUCGUAAAUUCUAUCAAUCCUACCCUUUCUCUCAAUCAAGAAACCCUAACCUUUCUCUCUAUUCAUGAGCUGGUAAUCGCGGCAAAGAAGGUCAACAACAAAGACCAACUGGUUCGAUUUCUCCCUAAAACUGGUACAACUUCUCCUAAACCCAACAUCACUCCACUCUCUGAGUUUGUUUUCUCCCUAAUUGAUGCAUCCACCUUCUCGUCUCUCCCCCUCCACCGAGUUUUCUCUCAUCUCUCUCCUCCAUAGAUGAAGAUUGUCGGAGAUGUGAAGGGAGUAACCAAAGGAAACCCUAAAACUACUCUGAUUGCACAAACUCUUCUUCUCCGGUGACUUUAGGUAAGUCUCUCCUCCAUAGAUGAAGGAUGGGAAUGCUUUUGUUCAACAGUACCAUCAUAUACUGCAGUAUUUUACAAAAUUGUAACUGAUAAACUUAUUAUGUCGCACCACAACAUCUACGGUCUACCAGUGGAAUCUUUAAAUCGGAUGGAGUUUUACAUUCUUGCAUUCGCCAUAUUUAUUUAAAAUUUUCAAGAAUUUGGUGAAGUCGGCACCAUCGUGUGCUCCAGUUAUCAUGAUUCACCCCCAUAUCGCAAAUCUAUUGCAACGAGUUCGAAAGAGGAGUUGAAGAAUCCAAUUGUUGUUCUGAGUUUGUGGGCUGAUUUUUUGAUUAGUUGCGUGGAAUAAGGAGAUGCAGACCACUAAGAGGUAAUUUCUGAUUUCUUUGUUUUCUGAUUACUUAUGUGGAUAUAUGAAUACGAGGACCACAUACUCUUUGUAUCUUACUCCUUUACCUAGAUGUAAUCUAAUUUGUUAUAGUGCCAAUCAAAUGUGUUCACAUUUUGUUGUUUAUUUGAUGUAUAAGUGAUAUAUUUGAUAUAUACGUUGUUCUUUUGAUAAUAAAAGUUGUACACUUGAUUUGAUAAACCACUAAUAUGUUAUCUGAAGCUAUUACUAGGGUUGUGUAUGUAGCAAAACAAAUACUUCAUUGUCUCUUCGAUGUUAGAGGACAAAAUGUAGGACUUCUUCGUGCAUAAUCAGAAUGGUAAGAUUCCAAGUGAUUUGUGAAGGUCAAAAUAAGUAUAUGUGAUCUUGAGUCAUUUUUCCUUAUGUGGGAAUGCAAAGUACCUUGCCAUCACACGACAGGAUCUUAUAGAUUAGAGAUAAGAGGGCGUGAAAAUUUCAACAGUUCUGUGAAGCUCAGUUACAAAGAUUUUUUAUAGAAGAAAGAAGCAUCUACAUCAGGGAAAAGAACACCACCAUUGAACAAAAGUGGUAGCACUUUCUCCAACAAGUUUGAUCAUGAAGAUGGGGGUUUGGGGGAGAAGGGAGAAGAUGUUUCAUGGAACUCAUGCACAAGGUCAUUUAUAAUUAAAAGGCUUCCAGGAUGAGUACAUGGACGCCUUGCUUUUAUCAAAGGAGACUGAAGAAGCUGCUAGGAAUUUAGGAUUGAGGAAUGUCAUUCGUUUGAAAUCAACUAAAGGCUUCCAACCCCCACAAAGCGGGGGAACCUUCAUUAGUUCUACUUAUUUUUGGCUUUCUACUAUUCAGAAGACCAAUCCUGAUUAUUUCAGAACUAUUCAUAUGUACCUGAAAUUUAAAUAUAAAUUUAAAUUCAUUAAUAAUUAUUUAUUUCAUGUUUAUGUUCAUAUGCUCAUAUAGGAUGAUACAAUACCUCCAUAUCUGGAAAUGCCAUAGUAAAUCUGUUCGAUAAACUUUCCACUCUUAAUAAGUGGGCCCUUUUUAUUUUCUUUUUUUUCAUUAACUGUUUUUUGAGAUAAACUUUAAGCAGUUUCUCUCAGCUAAAUUUAAAUGGCAUAAAGCUAAACAAGAAUGCAACUGAUACUUUUUAGUGAUUAUGAUAAUAUAUGAUUAUACAACUUGUUCAAUAUUAGAUUUGCUAGCAUUAUACAUAACAUUAAACAUACUUUGCUUCAAAUGUUGGAUAAUGGAAGGUUGAGCGAUGGUGAUCACCCAGAGAGAGGUAUUAAAUAUUUAUAUUAUUGCUAACUUAUUAUUUUAUCUCCAUGCUUUCAAAGCCCAUGCACCUGUUCUUUCUAGGUUCACUUUCAAUUUUUUAAAUCAUUCAAUCAAUUUCCAUUCAAUCAAUUUCCAUAACACUGAAUCAUAAAUCACUUCUAAUGUUAUUCUUUUACAAUGUUGGUCUUUUGCAGGUGGUUGGAAUUGGACCUAAAGUUGGUUGCUGAUAUAGGAAUAGUGGGUGCUCCAAAUGCAUGAAAAAGCAUGUUUUUAAGUGUUAUUAGUGUUGACAUGUAGUGUUGUUUGACAUGUAAUGUUAGGUAAAUUGUUUGACAUUUUAAUGAAAUUGAAUGUUUUGGUAUA